GAAUAAGAUGCCAUCUAGGACUUUCAUAGCUAGAGAGGAGAAAACAAUGCCUGGCUUCAAAGCUUCAAAGGACAGGCUGACUGUCUUAUUAGGGGCUAAUGCAGCUGGUGGCUUUAAGGUGAAGCCAAUUGCUCAUUUUCCAUUCUGAAAAAUCUUAGGACCC